rnacentral:lncRNA from 1 species
ACAGGCUGCCGUCAGAUUCUCAAGCCCCUAUUCCUCUCGGUGGCCUAAAUCCCCAACUGCUCGGGGCCACUUUUCAGGCCAAAAUGGGCCCAAAAUGGGGAGGGCAAGUGAUGAAUGUCACUAGACAGUGGGGCCCUCAAGGACCUGGCAAAUGGGGGCUUGGACCUCGGAUCGGCCUCCCACGCGAAGCUUGCUCCCCACCAGCAUCCCCACGUUGGUGGCGACGCUGCCCCGGCCCCACGGAUACUUCCGCGCCUGUCAGACUCCCUGAUGAACUACCCUUCCCAGAGUACCGCGGGAGCUCGGGCUCCUGAGGGCGACGGUCCUCUGAUGGCAGAUGCGGGAGAAACUCUGGCGUCAGGCGGCCCUCGCGUGGAGCACACGAAGUCGUGGCUUAUUCUGGCUUCAGUAUGUGGGGUGGAGAAGGCGAUCCACGCAGCUGCGUCUAUUUCCUGUGGAUCAAUCGCAAAAUACGUUCUGUAAGCCCCGCCCCCACUGCGUGCGGGCGGCUUUUGUCUCCACGGCAACCGUCAACUCUGGAAACGCCUGUCUUUCUCCAUGGCAACUGUCUACGCCGCAGGCUGGAGCUGCCCAUUACCGGAGCCCGUGCUGGGUAAGAUGUUCUUCCAUAUGCUCAAGACCACGGGUCAAGAUGUACUAGGCUGUCAGCAUUGUUGACUGUAAAUAUGAAGAUGCAUGAUGGGCACCUGGUACCUGGAUUGGAGUUCUCACUCUGUUCAUGUAGCAGGCAGGAAACCGAGGCACAGUCUAGUGUUGUGUGAGCAGGAAUGGAAGAAACACGCAACACUGCAGGAAGUCACAGAGGGUGCAGAAAUCAAAGGAAACUUCCUGGAGGAGGAAAAGACUGUGACCAGCUUCACAAAAGGCAGCAAAGGACUAUCAGAGAAAGAGAACUCCGAGUGAGGGGUCUGGCCUAGGCCCGGGAUCGGACCAGGCUCCCUCAGGACCCCAUCCUUUCCUGCCCGGACCGUGAAUUCAUCUCCUUGAAGCCAUAACGUCCGAGCUGCUGGUGCGGGGCAGCCCUGGCCCUAGGCUUCCUACCCCUGGAAGCGAGAGGAUGAGAGGAGGCCGGCCCAGCUCCUUCUUUCAGG